AUUCUGGAUCGGAUAGCCUUUCAUUUCGAGUUGCUGCAGCCAUAGCCCAGAAGAAUGAAGGACACGGCUUUAUUGUAGAGGUCAACAAGGCCAGCUGCCUGUCACCUGGAAAACGGACAACCACGAGAGCAGGAUACCUUGACCGUAAAAGAGCUCGGCAACAGACACGACAAAUUUAACGGCAGGCAAAAUUAGAUCGGCUGCGUCUAAAAGAAGAUCGACAGUCUUCAUUGGUGUUGUCGGAACUACACGAAGGCACAACUUACGAAACUAGUGUAGAUUUUGCUGUUUCCUCCGAGAGACAAGAGGAACUAAUAGCAGAAAUCCCAUCAACACCAUCAAGUUCAAGAAAGCUGAAACCUGUGGCUGCUCAAGUGUCCGAUUCUACACUCAUUGUGGCAGAUCUGGAGACUACGGGAUUCUCCACAAGUAGCAGUAUUAUUCAGAUAGCUGCAGCUCCUCUCCAUUCAGACGAAAGUUUCAAUAGAUUCGUGCAACCUUCUAACGGUUUUAUUCCUCCAACGAUCCAAAAACUAACAAGGAUAGAGAUGCACGGGCUGCAAAUGUAUUAUGAGUUGACCCCAGUUUCGUCAUGUGGAGAGAGACAAGCUCUAGUAGAGUUUGCUGCGUGGCUGAACAAGUUUUCUUCCCCUUUGAUUGUAGCACACAAUGCACAAUUCGAUGCACGUAUUUUAGUAUCCUGCUUUUCAAGACAUGGUCUGAUAGAUUUAGUGAAAAAAGUCGUCGGUUUCUCAGACACUGUGAAAUUGUUCAAGAAAGUUUACCCCGAUCAGCAGUCAUAUAAACUUCAAGAUUUAGUUAAGUCGUUUGCACCAGAUUUUGAAUCUUCAAAUGCACACAAUGCUGAACAUGAUGUUUCAAUGUUGAAAAACUUAGUAACGAACAAACCAAAUAUGGAGGAGUCACUCCGCGAUGCAGUUUUUUCUACAGAGUACGUCAUCGCAAACAACGAAAAACUAUCAAAUAAGAACAGAAACAUUGGAAGUUUUACUGACUUAAUAACCUCAAACAUUCUGACAAAGAGUCAAAGUUCUACGCUGGCAGCAUAUGGUUUGUAGUCAAACCAUUUGAAAUUCGCGCUGCAAAGAGGCGGAAGAGAAGGUCUUCUUACCGUACUGAAGGGAAAACUGAAAUCUUUCAACUCUGUAAUAGACAAGGUCAUUGCUUUCUAUAACGUAUGAGAGGCCAUUUUUGUUAUGCUGUUAUAUUUUAGGCGACAUUUGAAAUCAUGUAUGCACCACUAUUUUUUUUAUUGAAAAUUUGAUUCUGUUUGUUAAAGAUUAAAAUUUAUUUGUAAAUGAUUGAAUACUGUUUAAAACAUGUCCUCCAGGUAAGAUUUUGCAUUAAAUUUAAUUCCCGUUUACUAGAGUUACUGUUUUAUGGAGGUCAAUAAAUUUAAAAUAUCACUUCCAAGUGCUAUGGAAAAUAAAAGUUCUAUUCUAU
rnacentral:misc_RNA from 1 species